ensembl:lncRNA
AUGUGUUGCCUCUGGGGAACAAGAGAAGAUACGGAGGUCAAGCGUGGUUCUAUGACGUUUGCUGAUAAAUCUUUUCAGUGGUGUUUUUUUUUUUUUUCUUUUUGUUUUUCUGAGCAGCGUGGUACUGCCUGCAAAGCAGUGGGAAGAUCAAACAGCCAGCUGCUCAACAUUGGUCACCGCCUUCAGAGAACGAUGAACACAUCAGCGUGGCUGAACGCUGCUGUAGAUCACCCAGCACACACAGAGGUCUUAAUGGAGCAGAACAAUAAUGUUAGUCUUCAGCAGCCAUGGAAAAUAACAAAGAUCACAAAACCAGUCUCAAGGCGACACAGCUCUCACAGAAGCAAUGACUCCAAUCUACCUUUCCACCAACUGGGAGCAAACCUCAUCAAUAGGGCUGGUGAGUACAGGCUGUCACCCAGGGAGAGUCCCCAUAGCUGGAGGAUUCCCCCCUCAGGAUGGAUGGUCGUAGCCAAAAGGUUGUUGUCAUUGGCUCUGUGUCCAGGUGGUAUCUGGUCACAAAUACGAGGAUACGCUGAGGUGAGGAUACGUUGCAUCACUGUUUUGUCUUGUUGGUCUUUUGUUUUCUGUUACUGCUGA